GGAGCAGAUCUGUAGCUCAGUGGUAGAGCAUCUGCUUGUCAUGCAGAAGGUCCCAGGUUCAAUCCCCGGCAUCUCCA